GGGUAUUUAGCUCAGUGGUAGAGCGUUAAGCUUUUAACUUAAGGGCCAACAGUUCAAAUCUGUUAAUACCUA
rnacentral:tRNA from 2 species